GACGAACGCUGGCGGCGUGCUUAACACAUGCAAGUCGAACGAAGAGCGACGGAAGCUUGCUUCUAUCAAUCUUAGUGGCGAACGGGUGAGUAACGCGUAAUCAACCUGCCCUUCAGAGGGGGACAACAGUUGGAAACGACUGCUAAUACCGCAUACGAUCUAAUCUCGGCAUCGAGGAUGGAUGAAAGGUGGCCUCUACAUGUAAGCUAUCAUUGAAGGAGGGGAUUGCGUCUGAUUAGCUAGUUGGAGGGGUAACGGCCCACCAAGGCGAUGAUCAGUAGCCGGUCUGAGAGGAUGAACGGCCACAUUGGGACUGAGACACGGCCCAGACUCCUACGGGAGGCAGCAGUGGGGAAUCUUCCGCAAUGGACGAAAGUCUGACGGAGCAACGCCGCGUGAGUGAUGACGGCCUUCGGGUUGUAAAGCUCUGUUAAUCGGGACGAAAGGCCUUCUUGCGAAUAGUGAGAAGGAUUGACGGUACCGGAAUAGAAAGCCACGGCUAACUACGUG
rnacentral:rRNA from 1 species